rnacentral:rRNA from 1 species
CCUACGGGUGGCAGCAGUGGGGGAUAUUGCACAAUGGGGGGAACCCUGAUGCAGCGACGCCGCGUGGGUGAAGGAGCGUUUCGGCGCGUAAAGCCCUAUCGGCAGGGAAGAAGGAGGACGGUACCUGACUAAGAAGCCCCGGCUAACUACGUGCCAGCAGCCGCGGUAAUACGUAGGGGGCAAGCGUUAUCCGGAUUUACUGUGUGUGAAGGGGGCGCAGACGGCAGCGCAAGCCAGGAGUGAAAGCCCGGGGCCCAACCCCGGGACUGCUCUUGGUACUGCGCGGCUGGAGUGCAGGAGAGGUGAGCGGAAUUCCUAGUGUAGCGGUGAAAUGCGUAGAUAUUAGGAGGAACACCAGGGGCGAAGGCGGCUCACUGGACUGUAACUGACGUUGAGGCUCGAAAGCGUGGGGAGCAAACAGGAUUAGAUACCCGGGUAGUC